CUCCUCUCUAGAUUUAUGACUGGCCCAGCCAUAACCCAGCUUGUUCAGUCCUUCUCUGUUGUCUUCCUCUACUGGUUCUAUGUCUUCUCAGUAAGCUCCCUGUAGUUGUAGCCUUUUGAAAUUACAAGACUUAUUUAUACAACAUAAUUAUCAAGGCAUCCACAUAUAAACUACAAGGUAUAUAUAUAUAUAUAUAUAUAUAUUUACAAAAAGAAAAGGAAUAAGAGGGAGUAAAAUUGUUGCCGGUGCGAAAAAAAAAAUUGUUGAGAGGUGACCAUGUCGAGUGGGACCUCGUCCGGGUCGAGCCAGGGAACCCGGAGCUCCAGGUCGGAAGAUGACCUGAACCUCCAGGCCCAGAUGGAGAAGAAGAGGAAG
rnacentral:lncRNA from 1 species